AGAAACGCUGUGAAAGGGAAUAGUAGGGGUAACGAAGACGCUCAGAGAGCCGAGGGCUGGUGUGACUCGGACGCUUCUUAUCCCGAACGCGGCCCUGGAGCGGUCGGCCUGAAAUCUUAGUAGGGUCGAACGGGUUACGCCCGUUAGCGCGCAUGAGUGGUCGUCACCCGAAGGUGGCGGCAACAAGGGUGGUACCGCGAGGCAGCCCUCGUCCCUUGA
rnacentral:ncRNA from 1 species